rnacentral:rRNA from 1 species
AAUAUUGGACAAUGGGGGGAACCCUGACCCAGCCAUGCCGCGUGUGUGAAGAAGGUCUUCGGAUUGUAAAGCACUUUAAGUUGGGAGGAAGAGUUGUAGGCUAAUACCUUGCAAUUUUGACGUUACCAACAGAAUAAGCACUGGCUAACUUCGUGCCAGCAGCCGCGGUAAUACGAAGGGUGCAAGCGUUAAUCGGAAUUACUGGGCGUAAAACUCUCGGAGGUUGUUCGUUAAGUUGGAAGUAAAAGCCCCGUGCUUAACCUGGGAAUUGCUUUCAAAACUGACGAGCUAGAGUACGGUAGAGGGUAGUGGGAUUUCCUGUGUAGCGGUGAAAUGCGUAGAUAUAGGAAGGAACAUCAGUGGCGAAGGCGACUACCUGGACUGAUACUGACACUGAGGUGCGAAAGCGUGGGGAGCAAACAGG